ensembl:lncRNA
GGGAGCCUUUCCCUCUGUGCCUGUUGCUUCUCAUGAGCAGAGAAUGGACCACGUUCAUAGGGGCAUUUCUCCUCUGUGAAUCCACGUCAGAGCAUUCAUCACAGUGGGUAAUGAUUUAUCUAUCUCUGUCACCAUCUCUCCCAUCAUUGUGUUAGCUCUUUGAGGAAUAUCCAGAGAAGACACCAUGUAGAAAAGCAAAACAAAAAGAACAGCCAUAACAACAGAACCCUUCCCUGUAAAGAAAGCAUGAGGUCCGAGGUUUUAGGAGGACAAAUUCACCAGACAAAAACAUGCAACAGGUAUUUAAUGAUAAAAUCUAUAAUGUUCUGCUCAGGGUAAAAAACAAACAACAACAACAACAACAAAAAAAAAAAAAAAAAAAA